AUUGUUUGGCAAUUCGGUGCUUAUUCAAUUAAUAUUUAGAAUUUGGUAUAACUCCCAAUACUCAGGUAUGAUCCAAUUCAAGGACAUUGCCAGGUAGGGAGUUUGACUGGGGCGGUACAUCUUUCAAAUAAUAACGGAGGUGUCCCAAGGCCAGCUCAGUGCGGACAGAAACCACACAUAGAGCAAAAGGGCAAAAGCUGACUUAAUUUCGGUGUUCAAUACACAAGAACAGCAAAGGAUCGGCCUAUCGAUGAGAUCCUUUAUAUGAGGGGUAUGGUCCCCAUUACGGAU
rnacentral:ncRNA from 1 species